AUUUAGUGUUGAGUGCAUUUGAUGCAUAACUUCUUGAAUCGCUCCCAAUAAUCACAGAGCGACUCUCUUGGGUGCUACUUGAUACCGCAGAUCUCCUUCCUUAAACU